rnacentral:rRNA from 1 species
UACGUAGGGAGCGAGCGUUGUCCGGAUUUAUUGGGCGUAAAGAGCGCGUAGGCGGCACGGUACGACCGGUGUGAAAGCCCCCGGCUCAACUGGGGAGGGUCACCGGUAACGGCCGAGCUCUGAGUGCAGGAGAGGGAAGUGGAACUCCGGGAGUAGCGGUGAAAUGCGUAGAGACCCGGAGGAACACCAGGUGGCGAAGGCGGACUCACUGGCCUCAUUACUGACGCUCGAGGCGCGAAUAGCGUGGGGAGCAAACAGGGAU